rnacentral:rRNA from 1 species
AGUUUGAUCCUGGCUCAGGAUGAACGCUAGCUACAGGCUUAACACAUGCAAGUCGAGGGGCAGCAUGGUCUUAGCUUGCUAAGGCCGAUGGCGACCGGCGCACGGGUGAGUAACACGUAUCCAACCUGCCGUCUACUCUUGGACAGCCUUCUGAAAGGAAGAUUAAUACAAGAUGGCAUCAUGAGUUCACAUGUUCACAUGAUUAAAGGUAUUCCGGUAGACGAUGGGGAUGCGUUCCAUUAGAUAGUAGGCGGGGUAACGGCCCACCUAGUCUUCGAUGGAUAGGGGUUCUGAGAGGAAGGUCCCCCACAUUGGAACUGAGACACGAUCCAAACUCCUACGGGAGGCAGCAGUGAGGAAUAUUGGUCAAUGGGCGCAGGCCUGAACCAGCCAAGUAGCGUGAAGGAUGACUGCCCUAUGGGUUGUAAACUUCUUUUAUAAAGGAAUAAAGUCGGGUAUGUAUACCCGUUUGCAUGUACUUUAUGAAUAAGGAUCGGCUAACUCCGUGCCAGCAGCCGCGGUAAUACGGAGGAUCCGAGCGUUAUCCGGAUUUAUUGGGUUUAAAGGGAGCGUAGAUGGAUGUUUAAGUCAGUUGUGAAAGUUUGCGGCUCAACCGUAAAAUUGCAGUUGAUACUGGAUAUCUUGAGUGCAGUUGAGGCAGGCGGAAUUCGUGGCGUAGCGGUGAAAUGCUUAGAUAUCACGAAGAACUCCGAUUGCGAAGGCAGCCUGCUAAGCUGCAACUGACAUUGAGGCUCGAAAGUGUGGGUAUCAAACAGGAUUAGAUACCCUGGUAGUCCACACGGUAAACGAUGAAUACUCGCUGUUUGCGAUAUACUGCAAGCGGCCAGGCGAAAGCGUUAAGUAUUCCACCUGGGGAGUACGCCGGCAACGGUGAAACUCAAAGGAAUUGACGGGGGCCCGCACAAGCGGAGGAACAUGUGGUUUAAUUCGAUGAUACGCGAGGAACCUUACCCGGGCUUAAAUUGCAGAUGAAUUACGGUGAAAGCCGUAAGCCGCAAGGCAUCUGUGAAGGUGCUGCAUGGUUGUCGUCAGCUCGUGCCGUGAGGUGUCGGCUUAAGUGCCAUAACGAGCGCAACCCUUGUUGUCAGUUACUAACAGGUUCCGCUGAGGACUCUGACAAGACUGCCAUCGUAAGAUGUGAGGAAGGUGGA